UACGUAGGGUGCAAGCGUUGUCCGGAAUUAUUGGGCGUAAAGAGCUCGUAGGCGGUCUGUCGCGUCUGCUGUGAAAACUCAGGGCUUAACCCUGAGCUUGCAGUGGGUACGGGGCAGACUAGAGUGCGGUAGGGGAGACUGGAAUUCCUGGGUGUAGCGGUGAAAUGCGCAGAUAUCAGGAGGAACACCGGUGGGCGAAGGCGGGUCUCUGGGCCGUAACUGACGCUGGAGGAG
rnacentral:rRNA from 1 species